UAUAAAACUAAUACAUUAUAAAGAACAUAUCACCCUUUAAAGACACCGCUCCAACCUAGCAAUAAAGUUGUCAUUUUGAACAUCCAAUCGUAUGUCGUAUGAUAUCCUUUAACGUCACGGGCGGGGUCUGAGCAGACCCCACGCGCUGUAUUUUAACGAUAUUUUUUGAAAUUGUCUAAUUACGAUCGCGCGUUUCCGGCUAAUCUCAGUGCGAUGCGAAACCUAUCGGCGAGUGGACGUACGUCGCUCUUUUGCUAAGAAUUGGUGUUGAAAAAAACGAAUAAUGAGUCGCCGACUAACUAAAUAUUAAAUUUAUCAAAUCAUACACGAUUUUAGUGACUCGGAAAGUGAAGGCAUAGGAGACACGCCUCAAGAGAAUAUUUUGGAAGAGGUGGGUGAUAUAAGUGACCGUGAAUCUAUACAUACCGAACAUAAUUCAGCGUCAGAUAUAAAGAUAAAAAAACAAUAUUGUAUGUAAGUCUUGCAAAAAAUAUAUUUUGCAAGCCACAUUCAACAGCAAUUACCUAUCGUUUACUAUGCCAACCCGAAGUAUGAUUUUUAAUGUUAGUUUAGAUUAGUACAUUUCAAGACAUGCAAUUUUUUUUUCUAUAAUGUUUAUUGUUAUUUUUUCUUCUAAUUACUUGUUUUUGAUUCAUAUUUGAUUAGAAUAAUUUAGUUAAGUUGGUCUGAAGUUCACUCUUUUGUUAAAUUGUAUUACAUUAAACAUGUGCCUGAAAAUUAUAUCUAAAAGACUGUUAAUUUGAUAAAAAUAUUCCUUACUCCCUAAAGAUUGAUUGUUUUAUGUUUAAUAAAUACUUUUAAUAAAUAUUAUAA